rnacentral:rRNA from 1 species
CUACGGGAGGCUGCAGUGAGGAAUAUUGCACAAUGGGGGGAACCCUGAUGCAGCAACGCCGCGUGGAGGAUGACGCAUUUCGGUGUGUAAACUCCUUUUAUAUGUCAAGAAAAUGACGGUAGCAUAUGAAUAAGCACCGGCUAACUCCGUGCCAGCAGCCGGCGGUAAUACGGAGGGUGCAAGCGUUACUCGGAAUCACUGGGCGUAAAGGACGCGUAGGCGGGUUGGAAAGUCAGGUGUGAAAUCCUACAGCUUAACUGUAGAACUGCACUUGAAACUUCUAAUCUAGAGUAUGGGAGGGGGAGAUGGAAUUAGUGGUGUAGGGGUAAAAUCCGUAGAUAUCACUAGGAAUACCUAAAGCGAAGGCGAUCUCCUGGAACAUUACUGACGCUAAGGCGUGAAAGCGUGGGGAGCAAACAGGAUUAGAUACCCCAGUAGUC